CACCGGCGGCUCGAGUGGUAACCGCUAUUAUUGGGUCUAAAGGGUCUGUAGCCGGCUGAAUAAGUCUCUUGGGAAAUCUGGCAGCUUAACUGUCAGGCUUUCAGGAGAUACUGUUCGGCUCGAGACCGGGAGAGGUGAGAGGUACCUCAGGGGUAGGGGUGAAAUCUUGUAAUCCUUGAGGGACCACCAGUGGCGAAGGCGUCUCACCAGAACGGAUCUGACGGCAAGGGACGAAAGCUAGGGGCACGAACCGG
rnacentral:rRNA from 1 species